CCGGGUGCUAAGCCCCUCAUUGCCCGGGGUCGGCGGGGCCCGCCCGCUGCUCCGGGGGCGGGGCCCGCCAAGCCCACGCCCACCCGGAACUCCAGAUGGCCCGCAAGCGCCGCGCGCAGCGCCGGUUCCCGCUCGCGCCUCUCCCUCCACACCUCCCUGCAAGCUGAGGGAGUGGACUCUGGCCUUGGCCAGCCCAGAAAGGGGCUCCCACAGUGCAGCCGUGGGCUGAAGGGCUCCUCAAGUGCCGCCAAAGUGGGAGCCCAGGCAGAGGAGUCGCCGAGAGCGAGCGCGGGCUGUGAGGACUGCCAGCACGCUGUCACCUCUCAAUAACGCCCAUCCCAACGUUUCCUGAGGAAUAAUUUUGGUCGUGUUCCUGCUACUCAGCUUUUCGUGGUUCCUGCUCAUUUUCAGAGUCUAACAUUCCAGCUUUUCCGGAAAUUCUAUACUUUGAUGUAAAAGUUUUCAAAGAAAUGCUUUGGGCAGAAGAGACUCAUGGAAACUGGACACUAUAUCUGGAGCCAGGAAUAAUAGGAUCCGAGAAACAGUAACAAGUAUAAAACAAAGUGGUCUUGAACUCCUGGCCUCAAGUAAUCCUCCCCACUGGGCUUCCCAAAGUGCUGGGACUACAGAGAAUCUUAACCCAAAAGAAGAAUGAGCCAAGAACAUGAACAGACAAUUCAAAGAAAAGGAAAUGACCUUUAAACAUAUGAAACAAUGUCCAACUUCAGGCAAUAAGAGAAAUGCACUUAUUAAGACUACAAGAAAAUGCCUUAUUUUUUCAUCUAUCAGUCUUGCAAAGAUUUGAAAGUUGACUAUUAUAUCAUUUUGACAAAAAGGGAUCUGGUCUUCAACAAGUACAGGAAAGAAUCUCUUCUAGCAGUGGGAAGAAAAAGUGCAAACUUUGGACCCAUUACAUGGUGGAAGCUUCAGAAAUCUUUGUGCUAUGAAUAAGAUUUAUAGGAACAUUGUGACCUGACUUACAUCAUCCAAAGCCAACUGAUUGAGAAGAAAGAAGAUUGAGAACCUCCUCGGACCCUCACUGCCACCCAGAUGUCCGUGGUCAUAGGUCUAUUGAUCUUAAUGCCCUCCCUCUUCCCCUAACAUAAAAGGAAAAUAAAAUUCCUGAAAUUCAUAUUUACUUAAGAUGUUGCUUAAGGACACUAGUUUGUCAUCUUCUCGGUUUGCUGGCUCUCCAAAUAAAGUUGCCUUCCUUGCCCCAACACCUUGUCUCUGUACGUAUUGGCUGUCAUGCGGUGUAUUAGUUCAUUCUCACAUUGCUAUAAAGAAGUACCUGAGACUGGAUAAUUUAUGAAGAAAA
rnacentral:lncRNA from 1 species